GGAGGUAGAGCUCACAUGGUAAAGCACAAGCUUAGCAUGCACGAGGUCCUGGGUUCAAUCCCCAGUACCCCUC
rnacentral:tRNA from 1 species